rnacentral:tRNA from 2 species
GAGCCAUUAGCUCAGUCGGUAGAGCACUAGACUUUUAAUCUAGGUGUCGUAGGUUCGAACCCCACAUGGCUCA